GUGACGUCACGGGCCACCCGCCAGCCCCGCGCUCUACCAGGCAGAGCGCGUGUGGCCGCCGAGCACAUGGACCCACUGGUCAAGCGGGCUCGGCAAGGCCAGGAUGAAGAGAAGCUACGAACUUAGCAUUCCCAGAGCCCCCCGAGUGGAUAUCCGCGUGGAAAGGAUGUUGGCAGCCCCGGUGACCUCGGAGUCACGGCUGGAUCCACCCUCUUGUCUGAUUUUCUUAACUCUACUACGGUAAGAAGAUGCCCUCCAUCAGCAGGCCGUGUCUGCUGGGACCUCUCUGGAGACUUCCUGAACCCUGUGGAUUUACAGUAAGAUGCAGUUUCCUGGGGAGUAAUUCUGGUGGAUACAAAUUCCGGAGUAUUACACCUGGCUUGCCUGGAGAUGUUACAAGUAGCUGGAUGGAUUCUUCAGCCUGGAUGCCCACUGAAAACAAGGACCGAAACUAAGAGGAUUGUAUCUCUACCCUUGACUCAAUGAGAAUGUUUGUUGUCAUCUCUCGGGCUACCUGGAGCUCCCUCUAAAAUAGAGCCGAGUUCUGUCACCACAGACAUUGGCAGUGGCACUUGCAUGCCCCUGGCAAGCAGUCUAUCCUGAGGUGGAGGAAGUUGCCCUUGAGUUCUGGCUGGUAACCAGCACAGUAUACCCUUUAAGCGUUCCAGAAGGAUUUUGAGAUCCUUUCCUAAAUCAAAGGUGGAAUAUUUGGGGAUUUGGAAAAUUGAGCCAGUCUCUCAGAAGAACCAGUUGUGUUACUUUGCUGUGAGAUGCCUGCCCUAAGAGAGGAGCAGAAGGUCGGAACGGGUCCUCUAAUGUGAUAAUUAGAUGUGAAGCGUUGACUUAAGAGAUGCCAAGUAACUCAGCAGAUGUCACACAGACGAUAAAUAGCAAAGAUGGAAGUCUUCAUGCCGGAGGCAAUCCUAUAAGACAGCUGAGUUCUGCAGAGCUGGUAGGAGACAGACUUGCUCAGGUGAUAGAUCCAGCCAUGAUACUGACCCUAAGAGAAUGAGACGCUCUGCAGAAGACAGAAGAUUCCUGAAACUGGGAAAGGUGCCUAGAAAUCCUGAUAAGAGUGAAGAAGGGUACCUGGAGGCACAGCAGCCAUGUUGAACCUAUGAGGUGAUGAAAAACCAUGCAACUAGAAACCAGAAUGGAAGAAAAGAAGAAGCUGGAUCCUUGACUGAAUUGUCGAUGGGGGAUAGUCCAUCAUCCCAGGGCUAAGACCACCUCCAGAUUUCUUGUUUGGUGAAACAAGUCCUGAUUGUUUACAUUCCCUCGUGUUGAGCUGUCUCUUGCUUGUAGCUGAAAGCAUUUCUAAUAGAUAUUCAGAUUAUCAGCCUUAGCUCCAAGCUAGAAUACUCUAUGGGACCUUAGCUUCUCCAUGAAUUCCUUUGCUCAUCUGUGUAAUGCUCAAUAAAUGUAAAUUGAACCCUGAAUGAGGGACAAUGACA
rnacentral:lncRNA from 1 species